rnacentral:rRNA from 1 species
GACGAACGCUGGCGGCGUGCUUAACACAUGCAAGUCGAACGAAGUGGCGAACGGGUGAGUAACGCGUAAGCAACCUGCCCUUCAGAGGGGGACAACAGGUGGAAACGACUGCUAAUACCGCAUACUGAAGUAAGGGAGUGCGUCUGGUUAGCUAGUUGGAGGGGUAACGGCCCACCAAGGCCAUGAUCAGUAGGCGGUCGGAGAGGAUGAACGGCAACAUUGUGACUGAGACACGGCCCAGAAUCCUACGGGAGGCAGCAGUGGGGAAUGUUCCGAAAUGGACGAAAGUCUGACGGAGCAACGCCGCGUGAGUGAUGACGGCCUUCGGGUUGUAAAGCUCUGUUAAUCGGGACGCGGUACCGGAAUAGAAAGCAACGGCUAACUACGUGCCAGCAGCCGCGGUAAUAC